GCCGCAGUAACUCAGUCUGGGAGAGUGUCCGGCUGAAGACCGGAAUGUCGUCGGUUCAAAUCCGACCUGCGGCA
rnacentral:tRNA from 1 species